rnacentral:rRNA from 1 species
ACGAACGCUGGCGGCGUGCUUAACCCCUGCAAGUCGAACGGAAAGGCCCUGCUUUUGUGGGGUGCUCGAGUGGCGAACGGGUGAGUAACACGUGAGUAACCUGCCCUUGACUUUGGGAUAACUUCAGGAAACUGGGGCUAAUACCGGAUAGGAGCUCCUGCUGCAUGGUGGGGGUUGGAAAGUUUCGGCGGUUGGGGAUGGACUCGCGGCUUAUCAGCUUGUUGGUGGGGUAGUGGCUUACCAAGGCUUUGACGGGUAGCCGGCCUGAGAGGGUGACCGGCCACAUUGGGACUGAGAUACGGCCCAGACGCCUACGGGAGGCAGCAGUGGGGAAUAUUGCACAAUGGGCGGAAGCCUGAUGCAGCAACGCCGCGUGCGGGAUGACGGCCUUCGGGUUGUAAACCGCUUUCGCCUGUGACGAAGCGUGAGUGACGGUAAUGGGGAAAGAAGCACCGGCUAACUACGU